UACAGAGGGUGCGAGCGUUAAUCGGAAUUACUGGGCGUAAAGCGCGCGUAGGCGGCUUUGCAAGUCGGGUGUGAAAUCCCUCGGCUUAACCGAGGAACUGCCAUCCAGACUGCUUUGCUUGAGGCCGGGAGAGGUGAGUGGAAUUCCCAGUGUAGCGGUGAAAUGCGUAGAUAUCGGAAGGAACAUCAGUGGCGAAAGCGACUUCCUGGACCAAUACUGACGCUCAUGUGCGAAAGCGUGGGGAGCAAACAGG
rnacentral:rRNA from 1 species